rnacentral:rRNA from 1 species
AUGGCUCAGGAUGAACGCUGGCGGCGUGCUUAACACAUGCAAGUCGAACGGUGAAGCAGAGCUUGCUCUGUGGAUCAGUGGCGAACGGGUGAGUAACACGUGAGCAACCUGCCCCUGACUCUGGGAUAAGCGCUGGAAACGGCGUCUAAUACUGGAUACGAACAAGAAUCGCAUGGUUACUUGUUGGAAAGAUUUUUUGGUUGGGGAUGGGCUCGCGGCCUAUCAGCUUGUUGGUGAGGUAAUGGCUCACCAAGGCGUCGACGGGUAGCCGGCCUGAGAGGGUGACCGGCCACACUGGGACUGAGACACGGCCCAGACUCCUACGGGAGGCAGCAGUGGGGAAUAUUGCACAAUGGGCGGAAGCCUGAUGCAGCAACGCCGCGUGAGGGAUGACGGCCUUCGGGUUGUAAACCUCUUUUAGCAGGGAAGAAGCGAAAGUGACGGUACCUGCAGAAAAAGCGCCGGCUAACUACGUGCCAGCAGCCGCGGUAAUACGUAGGGCGCAAGCGUUAUCCGGAAUUAUUGGGCGUAAAGAGCUCGUAGGCGGUUUGUCGCGUCUGCUGUGAAAUCCCGAGGCUCAACCUCGGGCCUGCAGUGGGUACGGGCAGACUACUAGAGUGCGGUAGGGGAAGAAUUGGAAAUUUCCUGGUGUAGGUCGGUGGGUGGAAAUGCGCAGAUAUCAGGAGGAAACACCGAAUGG